rnacentral:rRNA from 1 species
CCUACGGGAGGCAGCAGUGGGGAAUAUUGCACAAUGGGGGAAACCCUGAUGCAGCGACGCCGCGUGAGUGAAGAAGUAAUUCGUUACGUAAAGCUCUAUCAGCAGGGAAGAAAUACUGACCUUACGGUCAGUAGACGGUAUCUGAGUAAGAAGCCGCGGCUAACUACGUGCCAGCAGCCGCGGGAAUACGGAGGGGGCAAGCGUUUUCCGGAUUUACUGGGUGUAUAGGGAGCGUAGACGGUGCGCCAAGUCUGGGGUGAAAUGCUUCAGGUGAACUGCGGAAUUGAAUUGGAAACUGGCGAACUAGAGUGCGGGAGGGGUAAGUGGAAUUCCUAGUGUAGCGGUGAAAUGCGUAGAUAUUAGGAGGAACACCGGUGGCGAAGGCGGCUUACUGGACCGUAACUGACGUUGAGGCUCGAAAGCGUGGGGAGCAAACAGGAUUAGAUACCCGGGUAGUC